AAGCCUCAGGGGUGGUGGCUGUUGACUGCAGGAGCAGAGCCAGAACAGCUGGCGGAGACCAAACCUGGUCAUCCUUCACAGGCUGUGUGGCCAUGGGCAAGUCACUCUACCUCUCUGGGUCCCGGUCUCCACAUUUUCAGAGUGAGGGCAGUUUCUCUGUGCCCUGAAAGUGGCUGGGAGUCUAGGCCAGGUGACAGCUCAGGGCAAGUUCUCAAGGGCCCCAGAAGCAUCUGGGGUGCAGGGGAGGUUCCAGGAUCCCCAGUUCCCACCUUUAAAUGAGGUGACUCGAGACCCUCUGAGAUGAAGGGACCCUGAACGUUGAUCAUUUUGACCUCCCAUCUCUAGGAGCAUGUCCAGAGUCUGCCAUUCCUUCCAGAAAGGAAAAAGGAGAACUCACAUCAAGAUCUCCCUUGUUUAGCCAGGGAGGUGGGAGUGGGGCCGGGGGGCAGCCAGGAAACAUGAGCACGUUCGUCAUGGAGGGCAGGGGCUGCACGGGCGGCCAGGCAGUGUGAGCCCAUGGUCAGCACCAGCGGCGAGCUGUCAUCUCCCUGUGCCUCAGUUCCCUUCCCUGUAAAACAGAACUCUGCACCGCCCCCGACCCCAUGCCAAGGUGCUGGGCAAAGCUGCAAAGGUGCUGGUGCCCGGCCACCCUCAGUCAAGGCGGCAAGAACCCCUCGGUGAGUGGACGUGGCCCCACAGGGAUGUAGAGGAUGAGGCAGAACCCAGGGCUCCCCGAGUUCCAAGUCCACGCUCCCCUGCACACGGGCCCACCGCCGCCCUUUCCAGAGAGAAAAAGAAAUUUCUGUCUAAAGUCAGUCAGAACACCCCCAGACUCCACACUGGUGACGUCCGAAUCCCCCCGGACACCGGUGUGGCCUCAGUCCUUCCUCCCAGCUGGUUCGCUCAGCUCUUGCUCCCUGCCAGCCCCCAGGUCCUGGUCCUUCUGCCACAGGCUAGCAGGCACCCCACAGCCCGAUGGCGGCUCAGAUGGAGACUGCGGUACUGGAUAUCCUGGGGGUAACAUCACAGCCACACCCUCCGCCAGGCUGGGGACAGCUGCCCAUGGGCCGGGCCAGGCCAGUGCUGGGAUUAUGUCUGGGGCCACCCAACAAAAGACCACAAAUGGGGCAGCUGCAAACAACAGAAGUCUAUUUUCUCCGAGUCCUGGUGGCCGGAACCAAAAUCAAGCUAUCGGCAGGACUGUCCUCUCUCUGCAGGCUGCAGGGGAGGUUCUUCCCGCCUCUUCUGGCAUUUGGUGGCCCCAGGUGUCCCGUGGACGUGGCCGUGUCAUUCCCAUCUCUGCCUCAUCUUCACGUGGCCUCUGUCGCCUCCCUCUCAAAUCUCCCCCGACCUCUGUCUUCUAAGGGCCUUUGUCUCUGGACAAAGACCCUUUUCCCAAAUAAGCCUGUCGUGUUCACAGGCUCCAGGUGGACCGAUCAUUUGGGGGCCACCACUGUGCCCACUGCAGUGGAGUCGGGGACGGGGCCACUCAUGGCCAUGAGGCCACAAACGGGUGUGGGGUCUGAGAGCAGCAGGCAGGUCACCCAACACCAGACAGGAGCAAGCCCAAGCAGGGGUGGCCGAGAGAGCCGGGAGGGUGAUCGGGUGAAACGCCUGCCCUCAGAGGAAGAGACGGGACAUGGCCCACGGCGGGGUCUCACCUGCGGCCUCUGGUUCUCCCCGUGCUUUGGCGCCGCUCCCGCUCCAUCCUGUCCCUUCACUCCCCUGUUGGAGAGGGUUUUCCCACAAUGGCCUGGACAUGGAGGGCUCGGGAGGUGGGUGACCUUCCCAGUGUGCCCAGCUGGAACUGGUCGACUUGGGCCCAGGUCCAUGUGAGUCCCGGGCCCCGCUGCCUCCUGAGACCAAGGAGCAUUUCCCUCUCUGGCGAUGGGCACGGGAGCUCCUGGCAGGACGGCGACCGUCCGGUGGGCCCGGAGAGGAGGCAGCUGCUGCACCCUCGGCGCUGGCUCUCAGGGAUGGCUGGGCUGUUAGGCCCGAACUAGACCUGCUGCCGCCGUGUGGAGAAGAGGUGGCCCCAGGAGCCCACUGUCUCGGGUGUGGGCCAUCUCCAUGCCUGUUCCUGUCCCCAUCACACACCAGGCAGUCCCCACCAGCGCCCACAUCCUCACCAGGGCUCUCCACGUCCCCUCCUCUGGUCCCCACCCAUGUGUCAGCUCCUCACAGUUCCAAGGGGCCACCCAGCAUCCCCGGGGCCCAAGCCCUUAGAGGAUGUGGUCUGGGAGGGUGGGACAGACACUUCUUCCCCAAGUCUGCCUCUGAUGUGUCACCCAAACCUUUAAACUUUGCACCUCAGUUUUAUUUAUUUAUUUAUUUUUAUUUUUUUUGAGACAGACUCGCUCUGUCGCCCAGGCUGCAGGCUGUGGGGUGUGGCGUGAUCUCAGCUCACUGCAACCUCCGCCUCCCAGGUUCAAGCGAUUCUCCUGCCUCAGCCUCCUGAGUAGCUGGGAUUACAGGUGUGCGGCACCACAUCCAGCUAAUUUUUGUAUUUUUAGUAGAGAUGGGGUUUCACCACGUUGGCCAGGCUGGCCUCGAACUCCUGACCUCAGGUCAUACACCCGCCUUAGCCUCCCAAAGUGCUGGGAUUACAGGCAUGAGCCAAUGCACCUGGUGGGACCUCAGGUCUAUAAUGAUCUAAAUCACCCAACAGGAGGAGGCAGCAAGACCUGGCAGCGAGGGCCAAGCAGGAAGGCCAUCUGCCUGCCCCCUGCCUGUCCCCUCCCCACCCCCAGCUCUCCCAGGCACUACAGCCUGGGGCAGCCCCUCCCCCAGGGCCCCACCCUCAGCCUCCUGUGCAGGUGAGCAGGAGCGGGCAGCCUCACUGGAGCCCAGAUGACGGAGCCGGAGCCCCUGCCCCACCCCACCUGCAUUUGAGGGGUGGGAUCUGCUUCUGGCCAUGAGGGAGGACAGACCCCCACACUCUACAAAGCCUGCCCCUUGGCUGCUUGGCUGUCUGGGCCAAUUCUGGUUGUCCUGAACCAGAGGCCACCAACGGGCCCCGUGGAGGCUCAGAACCAAAAUCCCACAUUCUCAGAGGUUCUUGGGGUCCUCAGGGUUGGGUAGUGCAGCAGCGUGCAGGCUGGGAGGGAAGCCUGGGAUCAAAUCCUGGCUCCCCUUCUUCCCGUUUGGUGGCCUUGACGGAGAGUGAGGGCUUCCUGGUGACUGAGCCUCGCUUUCCUCGUGUGUCCUGGGCUCGGAGAAGUCCUUUCUGGAGGAAGGAGGGUCCCUUCCUCUUGGUCAGGGCGGGAAGAAAUGUGCCCCAAGGAGGGAUGGCAGCGCCCACUGCGCCUGCGCUGUUCAUACCUUGAC
rnacentral:lncRNA from 1 species